GUUGGUUUAAUUCGAUGAUACGCGAGGUAACCUUACCUGGCUUAAAUGUAGAGUGCAUUUUUUUAGAGAUAGAAUCCCUUCGGGCUUUCUGCAAGGUGCUGCAUGGUUGUCGUCAGCUCGUGCCGUGAGGUGUCGGGUUAAGUCCCAUAACGAGCGCAACCCUUAUCGUUAGUUGCCAGCUGGUAAAGCAGGGGACUCUAGCGAAACUGCCACCGUAAGGUGAGAGGAAGGUGGGGAUGACGUCAAAUCAGCACGGCCCUUAUGUCCAGGGCUACACACGUGUUACAAUGGCCGGCACAGAGGGCAGCUACCUGGUGACAGGAUGCUAAUCUCGAAAACCGGUCUCAGUUCGGAUCGAAGUCUGCAACUCGACUUCGUGAAGCUGGAUUCGCUAGUAAUCGCGCAUCAGCCAUGGCGCGGUGAAUACGUUCCCGGGCCUU
rnacentral:rRNA from 1 species